ACACAUGCAGUCGGACGGUAGCACAGAGGAGCUUGCUCCUUGGGUGACGAGUGGCGGACGGGUGAGUAAUGUCUGGGGAUCUGCCCGAUAGAGGGGGAUAACCACUGGAAACGGUGGCUAAUACCGCAUAACGUCGCAAGACCAAAGAGGGGGACCUUCGGGCCUCUCACUAUCGGAUGAACCCAGAUGGGAUUAGCUAGUAGGCGGGGUAAUGGCCCACCUAGGCGACGAUCCCUAGCUGGUCUGAGAGGAUGACCAGCCACACUGGAACUGAGACACGGUCCAGACUCCUACGGGAGGCAGCAGUGGGGAAUAUUGCACAAUGGGCGCAAGCCUGAUGCAGCCAUGCCGCGUGUAUGAAGAAGGCCUUCGGGUUGUAAAGUACUUUCAGCGGGGAGGAAGGCGGUGCGGUUAAUAACCGCGCCGAUUGACGUUACCCGCAGAAGAAGCACCGGCUAACUCCGUGCCAGCAGCCGCGGUAAUACGGAGGGUGCAAGCGUUAAUCGGAAUUACUGGGCGUAAAGCGCACGCAGGCGGUCUGUUAAGUCAGAUGUGAAAUCCCCGGGCUUAACCUGGGAACUGCAUUUGAAACUGGCAGGCUUGAGUCUUGUAGAGGGGGGUAGAAUUCCAGGUGUAGCGGUGAAAUGCGUAGAGAUCUGGAGGAAUACCGGUGGCGAAGGCGGCCCCCUGGACAAAGACUGACGCUCAGGUGCGAAAGCGUGGGGGAGCAAACAGGAUUAGAUACCCUGGUAGUCCACGCCGUAAACGAUGUCGACUUGGAGGUUGUUCCCUUGAGGAGUGGCUUCCGGAGCUAACGCGUUAAGUCGACCGCCUGGGGAGUACGGCCGCAAGGUUAAAACUCAAAUGAAUUGACGGGGGCCCGCACAAGCGGUGGAGCAUGUGGUUUAAUUCGAUGCAACGCGAAGAACCUUACCUACUCUUGACAUCCACGGAAUUCGGCAGAGAUGCCUCAGUGCCUUCGGGAACCGUGAGACAGGUGCUGCAUGGCUGUCGUCAGCUCGUGUUGUGAAAUGUUGGGUUAAGUCCCGCAACGAGCGCAACCCUUAUCCUUUGUUGCCAGCGAUUCGGUCGGGAACUCAAAGGAGACUGCCGGUGAUAAACCGGAGGAAGGUGGGGAUGACGUCAAGUCAUCAUGGCCCUUACGAGUAGGGCUACACACGUGCUACAAUGGCGCAUACAAAGAGAAGCGACCUCGCGAGAGCAAGCGGACCUCACAAAGUGCGUCGUAGUCCGGAUCGGAGUCUGCAACUCGACUCCGUGAAGUCGGAAUCGCUAGUAAUCGUGGAUCAGAAUGCCACGGUGAAUACGUUCCCGGGCCUUGUACACACCGCCCGUCACACCAUGGGAGUGGGUUGCAAAAGAAGUAGGUAGCUUAACCUUCGGGAGGGCGCUUACCACUGAGAGAU
rnacentral:rRNA from 1 species